rnacentral:rRNA from 1 species
AGAUUGAACGCUGGCGGCAUGCCUAACACAUGCAAGUCGAGCGGCAGCGCGGGGGCGACCCUGGCGGCGAGCGGCGGACGGGUGAGUAAGGCAUCGGAAUCUGCCCUGAUGUGGGGGAUAACGUAGGGAAACUUACGCUAAUACCGCAUACGACCGAGAGGUGAAAGCGGGGGACCGAAAGGCCGUCGCGCAGCAGGAGUGAGCCGACUGUCCGGACUUAGUCUGGUUGGUUGGGGGUAAACGGGGACCCGACCCAAACGGCGGACCGGAUCGGUAGGCUGGUCGUGAGAGGGAGUGAUCAGCCACACUGGGACGUGAGACACGGCCCACGACUCCUACCGGGAGGGCAGC